rnacentral:tRNA from 1 species
AGAAAUUAGGUUCAAUCUUC